rnacentral:rRNA from 1 species
GCAUGCCUAAGACAUGCAAGUCGAACGAAGAAAUCGGAGCUUGCUCCGAUGGACGAGUGGCGAACGGGUGAGUAACAGGUAGGUAACCUACCCUAGAGACGGGGAUAACAUUUGGAAACGAAUGCUAAUACCGGAUAAGUAAUGAAUCGCAUGAUUUAAUAUUUAAAGGUGCUUCGGCAUCACUUUAGGAGGGACCUGCUCCGUAUUAGUUAGUUGGUGAGGUAAUGGCUCACCAAGGCAACGAUGCGUAGCCGAGCUGAGAGGCUGAUC